rnacentral:rRNA from 1 species
GGUUAUACGAAGGAUUUAAAUGAAAUAGAUUGGUGGAAUGAAGUAAAUAUUUGUUUUAAAUAAAUUUUUUAAAUAAAAAAUUAAGGGUAAAAUUUUUAUUUUUUUAAAUGAAAAGUUAUAACAGAAUGAAUUAUCUUUGAAAAUUAAGAUUUAAACUAGGAUUAGAUACCCUAUUAUUCUUUAUUUUAUUAAUUGCCAGGGUAGUAGAAUUUUUAAAACCUAAAGAAUUUGGCGGUACCUUACUCUUACUAGAGGAACCUGCUCUUGGAUCGAUAAUCCACGUUUUAAUGUACAUGUUUUUGUUUUCAGUUUGUAUACCGCCGUUGUCAGAUUAUUUUUAAAAAAUAUAAUCUAAUUAAUAGUUAAUUGGGACUUCAGGUCAAGGUGCAGCUUAUAAACAUGGGAGUAGUGGGUUACAAUAAUAUAGAAUUAUACGGAUUAACUAGUGUAAUACAAAUUAUGAAGGUGGAUUUAGUAGUAAAUUAAGAAUAAAAUUCUUAUUUGAAAUGAGCUCUGAGGUGUGUACACAUCGCCCGUCGCUCUCUCCCUUAAGGAGAGAUAAGUCGUAAC